rnacentral:rRNA from 1 species
GACGAACGCUGGCGGCGUGCUUAACACAUGCAAGUCGAACGGAAAGGCCCUGCUUUUGUGGGGUGCUCGAGUGGCGAACGGGUGAGUAACACGUGAGUAACCUGCCCUUGACUUUGGGAUAACUUCAGGAAACUGGGGCUAAUACCGGAUAGGAGCUCCUGCUGCAUGGUGGGGGUUGGAAAGUUUCGGCGGUUGGGGAUGGACUCGCGGCUUAUCAGCUUGUUGGUGGGGUAGUGGCUUACCAAGGCUUUGACGGGUAGCCGGCCUGAGAGGGUGACCGGCCACAUUGGGACUGAGGUACGGCCCAGACUCCUACGGGAGGCAGGAGUGGGGAAUAUUGCACAAUGGGCGGAAGCCUGAUGCAGCAACGCCGCGUGCGGGAUGACGGCCUUCGGGUUGUAAACCGCUUUCGCCUGUGACGAAGCGUGAGUGACGGUAAUGGGUAAAGAAGCACCGGCUAACUACGUG